UGGCCGGUAGCUCAGCGGUAGAGCGCCUGUCUGUUAAACAGGACGUCGCAGGUUCAAUCCCUGCCCGGUCAGCCA
rnacentral:tRNA from 1 species